rnacentral:rRNA from 1 species
UGCAAGUCGAGCGAACAGACAAGGAGCUUGCUCCUUUGACGUUAGCGGCGGACGGGUGAGUAACACGUGGGUAACCUACCUAUAAGACUGGGAUAACUUCGGGAAACCGGAGCUAAUACCGGAUAAUAUUUCGAACCGCAUGGUUCGAUAGUGAAAGAUGGUUUUGCUAUCACUUAUAGAUGGACCCGCGCCGUAUUAGCUAGUUGGUAAGGUAACGGCUUACCAAGGCGACGAUACGUAGCCGACCUGAGAGGGUGAUCGGCCACACUGGAACUGAGACACGGUCCAGACUCCUACGGGAGGCAGCAGUAGGGAAUCUUCCGCAAUGGGCGAAAGCCUGACGGAGCAACGCCGCGUGAGUGAUGAAGGUCUUCGGAUCGUAAAACUCUGUUAUUAGGGAAGAACAUACGUGUAAGUAACUAUGCACGUCUUGACGGUACCUAAUCAGAAAGCCACGGCUAACUACGUGCCAGCAGCCGCGGUAAUACGUAGGUGGCAAGCGUUAUCCGGAAUUAUUGGGCGUAAAGCGCGCGUAGGCGGUUUUUUAAGUCUGAUGUGAAAGCCCACGGCUCAACCGUGGAGGGUCAUUGGAAACUGUAAAACUUGAGUGCAGAAGAGGAAAGUGGAAUUCCAUGUGUAGCGGUGAAAUGCGCAGAGAUAUGGAGGAACACCAGUGGCGAAGGCGACUUUCUGGUCUGUAACUGACGCUG